UACGUAGGGUGCAAGCGUUGUCCGGAAUUAUUGGGCGUAAAGCGCUCGUAGGCGGUCUGUUGCGUCAACCGUGAAAUCCUGCUGCUCAACGGCAGGUCUGCGGUUGAUACGGGUGGGCUGGAGUUCGGUAGGGGAGACUGGAAUUCCUGGUGUAGCGGUGAAAUGCGCAGAUAUCAGGAGGAACACCGGUGGCGAAGGCGGGUCGCUGGGCCGAUACUGACGCUGAUGAGCGAAAGCGUGGGGAGCGAACAGG
rnacentral:rRNA from 1 species